rnacentral:ribozyme from 13 species
AGGAAGUCCGACCUACCCGUAAAGAUGGGUAUGGGAUAACGACCAUCUGUUCUGCAACACAAAGACGUGCUACAGAGGGGUUCAAUUGCAACCGUGUGGUCAACAUGUCUUGGAACACAGUACGGGCAAGCGUUGAAAGGCAGCAGGUCACAAACGUCCUUCUUAAAGCUGGCAAGUCGUGGGGGUUUAAGCAGCGGAAACUUCUCGAAGCCAAAGCAAAGCUGAA